AACGAACGCUGGCGGCGUGGAUUAGGCAUGCAAGUCGAGCGCGAAAGUGGCUUCGGCCACGAGUAGAGCGGCACAAGGGUGAGUAGCACAUGGACAAUCUGCCCUUGAGACUGGAAUAACGGCGGGAAACUGCCGCUAAUGCCGGAUGGCCCUGCAGCGCGGCAUCGCGCAGCAGGUAAAGGUGGGGAUCCUUCGGGACCUGCCGCUCAAGGAGGAGUUCAUGCCCUAUCAGCUAGUUGGUGAGGUAACGGCCCACCAAAGCGAUGACGGGUAGGCGGCCUGAGAGGGUGACCGCCCACACUGGGACUGAGACACUGCCCAGACUCCUACGGGAGGCUGCAGUCGAGAAUCUUCCGCAAUGGACGCAAGUCUGACGGAGCGACGCCGCGUGCGGGAUGAAGGGCUUUGGCUUGUAAACCGCUGUCAGGUCUUGAGAAGGCGCACGGGAGAAUGCCCCGUUGCGUUGACCACGAACCG
rnacentral:rRNA from 1 species